AUACGUAGGGGGCGAGCGUUGUCCGGAAUGAUUGGGCGUAAAGGGCGCGUAGGCGGCCCGGUAAGUCUGGAGUGAAAGUCCUGUUUUUAAGAUGGGAAUUGCUUUGGAUACUGUCGGGCUUGAGUGCAGGAGAGGUAAGUGGAAUUCCCCGUGUAGAGGUGAAAUGCGUAGAGAUUGGGAGGAACACCAGUGGCGAAGGCGACUUACUGGACUGUAACUGACGCUGAGGCGCGAAAGUGUGGGGAGCAAACAGGAUUAGAUACCCUGGUAGUCCACACUGUAAACGAUGAAUGCUAGGUGUAGGGGGUAUCGACCCCUUCUGUGCCGCAGUCAACACAAUAAGCAUUCCGCCUGGGGAGUACAGCCGCAAGGUUGAAACUCAAAUGAAUUGACGGGG
rnacentral:rRNA from 1 species